UCCAAAUCCACUUCCCUUCUUUCUCAAAUCUCAGUCCGCAUCUAGGGAAUAUCUGUGAUCCCAGUUUAAUAUCUCAGUCACGCCUUCCUCACUGUCGACGACGGAGAUCCGCCGGAGCAACUUGAGUUGAUCGAUGUGGAAGACUCAUCUCCAAGUUUUGUUGAGGGAAUUCAGGAAAGUAAUGAAGAUGUACAGAUUCUAGAUGAUUCUAAAAUUAAGAAAAGGAAAACAUCUGACGUUUGGAAUCACUUUACGGAGGCAAAAGAGUCCCAAAAAUAUCCGAAUAUCAAGAUGUAGUGGUUAAGUCUAUGGCUCUUAAGAUGAAACUGAAAUUUGAUAAAUAUUGGAAAGAGUAUAGUGAAACACUCUCUAUAGGAGCAGUGCUUGAUCCGAGAAUGAAGUUCAAAGUUUUGGGCUAUUUUUAUUCAAGAAUUGAUCCUCUUACAAGCAAGGAUAAAAUUUUGAAGCUGAAGAUGAAAUUGUAUGCUUUAUAUGAUGAGUAUAAGAAAAGGGGUGUUGGGGUAUCUUUAUUUAAAGUUCCUCAAGCUAGUAGUGGAAGUUCUAGUUCUCAAGUCAGAGAACUUGAUUUCAUGGGUGAAGAAGUAAGGGGAGGAGAAAUUAAUCAAGCAUUGCUGAAUUGGGAGGAAGACGACUUUGCUAUAUAUAAGAAUCAAGCAGGUGCAACUUCUGAAGCAAAGUCACCGUUGGAUGUUUAUUUGGAGGAAAGUCAUAUGGCUGAAAAUGGUGAGCUUGAUUUACUCAAGUAUUGGAGAGAUAAUGCAUCCCGCUUUGGAUAACUUUCUACAAUGGCAUGUGAUGUGCUAAGCAUUCCUAUAACAACGGUAGCAUCAGAAUCUUCAUUUAGUAUUGGAGCGCAUGUUUUGAAUAAAUACAGAAAUAAGCUCCUUCCUGAAAAAGUGCAAGCUCUUAUUUGUUUACGUAAAUGGUUGCGUGGAUAUUCCAAUGAUGAUGAAGACUAUGAGCUUGAUGCCAAUGAUCCAGUUGAUGCUUCAAACGUUAUUGAUGUGGAAGAGCGUCAUUCAAAUGCGUAGAUUUUAUUUUAAUUGUACUUCGUUGUUUCUCUUAAACAUGUAAUGGGCUAAACCUUUGUGAUAUUUGACUACUUAUCGUACUUUAAUAUCUUUAGUUUUAA